CCAUGCAAGUCGAACGCACCUUUCGGGGUGAGUGGCAGACGGGUGAGUAACGCGUGGGAAUCUACCCUUCUCUACGGGAUAGCUCCGGGAAACUGGAAUUAAUACCGUAUACGUCCUGAGGGAGAAAGAUUUAUCGGGGAAGGAUGAGCCCGCGUUGGAUUAGCUAGUUGGUGGGGUAAAGGCCUACCAAGGCGACGAUCCAUAGCUGGUCUAAGAGGAUGAUCAGCCACAUUGGGACUGAGACACGGCCCAAACUCCUACGGGAGGCAGCAGUGGGGAAUAUUGGACAAUGGGCGCAAGCCUGAUCCAGCCAUGCCGCGUGAGUGAUGAAGGCCCUAGGGUUGUAAAGCUCUUUCAGUGGGGACGAUAAUGACGGUACCCACAGAAGAAGCCCCGGCUAACUUCGUGCCAGCAGCCGCGGUAAUACGAAGGGGGCUAGCGUUGUUCGGAAUUACUGGGCGUAAAGCGCACGUAGGCGGAUAUUUAAGUCAGGGGUGAAAUCCCGGGGCUCAACCCCGGAACUGCCUUUGAUACUGGAUAUCUUGAGUUCGGAAGAGGUAAGUGGAAUUGCGAGUGUAGAGGUGAAAUUCGUAGAUAUUCGCAGGAACACCAGUGGCGAAGGCGGCUUACUGGUCCGAUACUGACGCUUA
rnacentral:rRNA from 1 species